CAGCCGCCACGGUAAUACAGAGGGUGCGAGCGUUAAUCGGAUUUACUGGGCGUAAAGCGUGCGUAGGCGGCUUCUUAAGUCGGAUGUGAAAUCCCUGAGCUUAACUUAGGAAUUGCAUUCGAUACUGGGAAGCUAGAGUAUGGGAGAGGAUGGUAGAAUUCCAGGUGUAGCGGUGAAAUGCGUAGAGAUCUGGAGGAAUACCGAUGGCGAAGGCAGCCAUCUGGCCUAAUACUGACGCUGAGGUACGAAAGCAUGGGGAGCAAACAGGAUUAGAUCCCCAGUAGUCCCUGUCUCUUAUACA
rnacentral:rRNA from 1 species